UUGCACAAUGAUGAAUUUUCUUACCGCCCCAGUCUGAAGAUUCGUGACUGAUUGGUACCCCUCUGAUUGCAC